AUUGAACGCUGGCGGCAGGCCUAACACAUGCAAGUCGAGCGGAGCGGCGGACGGGUGAGUAAUGCCUAGGAAUCUGCCUGGUAGUGGGGGAUAACGUCCGGAAACGGGCGCUAAUACCGCAUACUAUCAGAUGAGCCUAGGUAGGAGUAGGUAGUUGGUGGGGGAAAGGCCUACCAAGGCGACGAUCCGUAACUGGUCUGAGAGGAUGAUCAGUCAAACUGGGACUGAGAACCGGUCCAGACUCCCACGGGGGGAAGCAGUGGGGAAUAUUGGACAAAGGGGGAAAAGCUGAUCCAGCCAUGCCGCGUGUGUGAAGAAGGUCUUCGGGUUGGAAAGCACUUUAAGUUGGGAGGCGUUACCAACAGAAUAAGCACCGGCUAACUUCGUGCCAGCAGCCGCGGUAAUUC
rnacentral:rRNA from 1 species